AGGACGAACGCUGGCGGCGUGCUUAACACAUGCAAGUCGAACGGUGAAGCCCUUCGGGGUGGAUCAGUGGCGAACGGGUGAGUAACACGUGGGUAAUCUGCCCUGCAUUCUGGGACAAGCCUUGGAAACGAGGUCUAAUACCGGAUACGACGCAUCUCCGCAUGGGGUGUGCGUGGAAAGCUCCGGCGAUGCAGGAUGAACCCGCGGCCUAUCAGCUUGUUGGUGGGGUGAUGGCCUACCAAGGCGACGACGGGUA
rnacentral:rRNA from 1 species